AGAAAAAUAAGCUAAAUAUUAAGCUAAUGGGUUCAUACCUCAUAAAUGGAAUUUAAUCCUUUUUCUA
rnacentral:tRNA from 2 species